AGUGAACGCUGGCGGUAGGCCUAACACAUGCAAGUCGAACGGCAGCACAGUAAGAGCUUGCUCUUACGGGUGGCGAGUGGCGGACGGGUGAGGAAUACAUCGGAAUCUACUUUUUCGUGGGGGAUAACGUAGGGAAACUUACGCUAAUACCUCAUACGACCUACGGGUGAAAGCAGGGGAUCUUCGGACCUUGCGCGAUUGAAUGAGCCGAUGUCGGCUUAGCUAGUUGGCGGGGUAAAGGCCCACCAAGGCGACGAUCCGUAGCUGGUCUGAGAGGAUGAUCAGCCACACUGGAACUGAGACACGGUCCAGACUCCUACGAGAGGCAGCAGUCGGGAAUAUUGGACAAUGGGCGCAAGCCUGAUCCAGCCAUACCGAGUGGGUGAAGAAGGCCUUCGGGUUGUAAAGCCCUUUUGUUGGGAAAGAAAAGCAGCAGGUUAAUACCCCGCUGUUCUGACGGUACCCAAAGAAUAAGCACCGGCUAACUUCGUG
rnacentral:rRNA from 1 species